GCCCAGAACAGAAUCUUAGUUCAACUUUAAACUUACCUCAAAAACCUAAAAUUCCAAUGUAAGUUUAAAAUAUAGUCUAAAAAGGUACAGCUUUUUAGACCUAGGAUACAGCCUUUAUUAGAGAGUAAGCAUAAAUAUAAACCAUAGUUGGCCUAAAAGCAGCCAUCAAUUAAGAAAGCGUUCAAGCUCAACAAUCAAAGCAUCUUAAUGUCAAAAAUAAUGCAACCAACUCCUAACCUAAAACUGGGCUAAUCUAUUUAAUAAUAGAAGCAAUAAUGCUAAUAUGAGUAACAAGAAAUACUUCUCCCUGCAUAAGCUUAUAUCAGAACGGAUAACCACUGAUAGUUAACAACAAGAUAUAUAUAACCUAACCAUAAACAAAAUAUCAAAUUAAUUGUUAACCCAACACAGGUAUGCAAAUUAGGGAAAGAUUAAAAGAAGUAAAAGGAACUCGGCAAACACAAGCCCCGCCUGUUUACCAAAAACAUCACCUCUAGCAUUUCUAGUAUUAGAGGCACUGCCUGCCCGGUGACGCUAGUUAAACGGCCGCGGUAUCCUGACCGUGCAAAGGUAGCAUAAUCAUUUGUUCCCUAAAUAGGGACUUGUAUGAACGGCCACACGAGGGCUUUACUGUCUCUUACUUCCAAUCCGUGAAAUUGACCUUCCCGUGAAGAGGCGGGAAUAUAAUAAUAAGACGAGAAGACCCUAUGGAGCUUUAAUUAACCGACCCAAAGAGACCAUAUGAACCAACCGACAGGAACAACAAACCUCUAUAUGGGCCGGCAAUUUAGGUUGGGGUGACCUCGGAGAACAAAACAACCUCCGAGUGAUUUAAAUCUAGACUAACCAGUCGAAAGUACUACAUCACUUAUUGAUCCAAAAACCUUGAUCAACGGAACAAGUUACCCUAGGGAUAACAGCGCAAUCCUAUUUCAGAGUCCAUAUCGACAAUAGGGUUUACGACCUCGAUGUUGGAUCAGGACAUCCCGAUGGUGCAGCAGCUAUCAAAGGUUCGUUUGUUCAACGAUUAAAG
rnacentral:rRNA from 2 species